UGGCCAAUAGAAUGUGGACAGAACUGAUGUAAGCCUCUUCCAAGUGUGACCAUUAUUCUGAAUGAUCCUCUAAGCAUUCUCUCUUCACUUGCCUCCGGUCUGGAUGUAGGAAAUCAGUGAAAAGCUUCAAGCUCCUAGGCAAUGAAAGAGCCUAGAUGCCUGAAUGAUUUCAUGGAGCAGAACCAUCACUCUCUUCUACUGAUGAAUCUAUAAUAGACUAUAAGCCAGCCCACAAUACUUCCUCAGUAUUUUGGACUUUGCCAUAGGAGUUGAGUCCUGGCAUAAAGCAAUAUCUGAACACAUAAUGUCACCUACAGAAGCAGUGCUGGACUCCCAUUCUAGGGAGGAGUACACAAAACCGGAAAAGGUCCAAAGUCUGCUGUUCCACUGCCCCCGUAAAGGGCAUUCUAGUGAGCAGAGUUUAACAAUGGUAUGAUCCGGGAUAAAACUUAGUGUCAGUGCUUUGUCCACUCUGACUGAUUCUUCUUUUAUUCAAUUUUCUUCCGCUCAACCUUGUCCUCUCCUGCAUUUGCCACAGGGGGGAAAUAUUUGUCAUCUGUUUUACCUGUAUCUGCCACUCUUCUACACCCCCUUCCUCACCCACCCUUCAUGACCCCCUCUCCCGGAUCCCAACCCAGAGCCUAUUUCUCUCCUUUUUCAAGCAACUCAGAGCACAUAUUAGGGCAGAGAGUCAUAUCAAUGCUCAUAAAACCUCCAAAUGACAACAGUGAUUAAUUACUCCCUUGCUUUUUGACUUCACUUGCCUGCUGCAGACACUACCUAUCUUCAACAGCCAAGAGAGCUGAGGAGGGGCCACCAUCAAGCUUUUUGCCAGUGCACUACCUAGGACAGAAUUUUUCAAACUGCAUUCCAUGGAGAGGCUACAAGAAGCAUCUGAGAAGAUGGGAGAAGAUACAUAAGCAUUGAAUGAAUGGGGCUCUACAUCCCCCAACUCCACUUCUGUCAUGGCAGUUCCGCUUUAUCUGCUUCACGUUAGAUUGCAUUUGGAGAAUUGUUCCAUCCUUGAAAGAGAGAGAGAAAUAAACCCCUUAUUUUGGAAGAUCCUUUGGAUCGCCAAACUUUUGGGCCCCUUAAUUUCUUGAAUCUCUCAGUUUCCACCAUUCCUGCCCACCAGGAGCAGAGGUAGGAAAGACCAGCCCAGCAGACACUCCCAACUCCUAACAGCCCACUUUCUAGGUCCCAGAGCCAAGGAGAAUUACAGCAAAACAGAACUCAUGGAUGGAGUAAGGGGCUGUGGGUUGUUGCUUCCCCCACAAGUCCUACAGUUCUGAAUCUUACCUGUCCUUGCAUAGAGUAGAUUUUUAAAUGAACAUGGUAUGACUGGAUGGAUGAUCCAAUCUCUAUUACUUUAGAUCAUUCUGGGGGGAGUCGGGGGACGGGACUGGCCUUAGAUCUCAGAAUGGCCACAAUAUUCAUUCUUCAAUAUGCAGAGAGGCAAUUUGGCAUAGACAUUAAGAAUAUGAGAUCUAGAAUCAGACCCUUGCUUCAAAUCCUGGCUCUGCCACUUCAAACUAUGUGACCUUAUUCUUGUAAAUAUGAAUAUGCUUGCAAUGAUAAUGUUUCUGUCAUGAGGAUUAAAUAAGUUAAUACAUGUAAAAUACUUGGUUACUUGGUGCCUGGCAUGUUAGUGUCAGUAAACAUUAGCAAAUGUUAGCCCUCAUUAUUGUUGUUAUCCUGUUCAAACGCCUUCCUCUGACUCUUCCAA
rnacentral:lncRNA from 10 species